rnacentral:rRNA from 1 species
GUGCCAGCAGCCGCGGCAAUACGGGGGGGGCAAGCGUUGUUCGGAUUUACUGGGCGUAAAGGGAGCGUAGGCUGUCGGUCAAGUCCGGUGUGAAACCCUUACCGCUUACCGGAAGGACGGCACUGGAUACUGGCCGGCUAGAGUGGGGUAGAGGCAAGCGGAAUUCCUGGUGUAGCGGUGGAAUGUGCAGAUAUCAGGAAGAACAUCUGUGGCGAAGGCGGCUUGCUGGGCCCUUACUGACGCUGAGGCUCGAAAGCGUGGGGAGCAAACGGGAUUAGAUACCCCGGUAGUCCACGCCUUAAACGGUGCGCACUAGGUGUGGGAGGUAUCGACCCCCGCGGUGUCGAAGCUAACGCGUUAAGCACUCCGCCUGGGGAGUACGGCCGCAAGGCUAAAACUCAAAUGAAUUGACGG